rnacentral:rRNA from 1 species
CGUACACUCCUGCGGGAGGCAGCAGUGGGGAAUAUUGCACAAUGGGCGCAAGCCUGAUGCAGCCAUGCCGCGUGUAUGAAGAAGGCCUUCGGGUUGUAAAGUACUUUCAGCGGGGAGGAAGGCGAUAAGGUUAAUAACCUUGUUGAUUGACGUUACCCGCAGAAGAAGCACCGGCUAACUCCGUGCCAGCAGCCGCGGUAAUACGGAGGGUGCAAGCGUUAAUCGGAAUUACUGGGCGUAAAGCGCACGCAGGCGGUCUGUCAAGUCGGAUGUGAAAUCCCCGGGCUCAACCUGGGAACUGCAUUCGAAACUGGCAGGCUAGAGUCUUGUAGAGGGGGGUAGAAUUCCAGGUGUAGCGGUGAAAUGCGUAGAGAUCUGGAGGAAUACCGGUGGCGAAGGCGGCCCCCUGGACAAAGACUGACGCUCAGGUGCGAAAGCGUGGGGAGCAAACAGGAUUAGAAACCCUUGUAGUCCCA